rnacentral:rRNA from 1 species
UACGUAGGGGGCAAGCGUUGUCCGGAUUUAUUGGGCGUAAAGAGCGUGUAGGCGGCUGGGUAGGUCCGUUGUGAAAACUCGAGGCUCAACCUCGAGACGCCGAUGGAAACCCUCCAGCUAGAGUCCGGAAGAGGCGAGUGGAAUUCCCGGUGUAGCGGUGAAAUGCGCAGAUAUCGGGAGGAACACCAAUGGCGAAGGCAGCUCGCUGGGACGUUACUGACGCUGAGACGCGAAAGCGUGGGGAGCAAACAGG